GAUGAAGAACGCAGCGAAAUGCGAUAAGUAAUGUGAAUUGCAGAAUUCAGUGGAUCAUCGAAUCUUUGAACGCACAUUGCGCCCGCCAGUAUUCUGGCGGGCAUGCCUGUUCGAGCGUCAUUACAACCCUCAGGCCCCCGGGCCUGGCGUUGGGGAUCGGCGGAGCCCCCCGUGGGCACACGCCGUCCCCCAAAUACAGUGGCGGUCCCGCCGCAGCUUCCAUCGCGUAGUAGCUAACACCUCGCGACUGGAGAGCGGCGCGGCCACGCCGUAAAACACCCAACUCUUCUGAAGUUGACCUCGAAUCAGGUAGGAAUACCCGCUGAACUUAAGCAUAUCAAUAAGCGGAGGA
rnacentral:misc_RNA from 1 species